GAAUCCGCCAAGGAGUGUGUAACAACUCACCUGCCGAAUGAAUUAGCCCUGAAAAUGGAUGGCGCUAAAGCGGGCAGCCGACACCACACCGUUUGUUUUAUAAAAACAAAUGAGUAGGAGGGCGUGGUGGCCGUAUCGAAGCAUGCGUGUGAACGCUUGUGGAACGGCCACUAGUGCAGAUCUUGGUGGUAGUAGCAAAUAUUCAAGCGAGAUCCUUGAAGGGCGAAGCGGGGAAGGGUUCCACGCGAACAUUGAUUGGGCGUGGGUGAGUCGUUCCUAAGCCGAGUGGCCAUUGCUAAUUAUAGGCGAAAGGGAAGCGGGUUGAAAUUCCCGCACACGGAUGUGGAGGCGGCGACGCGCAUUGAGGCGAAAACAUCGGCGAUGGCGCUGGGCAGAGAUGUCUUUUCUGUUUAAUCAUUAUCAUGCUGUGUGGAAUCCGCUUGUCGGGAGAAACACGCGUGAAAGGUAAGAGCGCCGGGGCUUUUCCGGCGUCCAGCUCGCCAACGACGGUCCUUGAAAAUUUGCCUAAUGAAUUAAGAUCCACGCCGUGGCGUACCGAUAACCGCAUCAGGUCCCCAAGGUGAACAGCCUCUGUCCAAUAUGAACAAUGCAGGUAAGGGAAGUCGGCA
rnacentral:rRNA from 1 species